CGCGCUGUCAGUCCGGAUGGAGAGUUUAGUGAAGGGGAGAAAUGGCGUAGUUGUGUGAAGCGGGCCGGGUCCGGCCGAACCACGCGAAGAAACCGGACCCCGCGGCCCGCUGGAACACAGCAGAGCAUGGGGGAACGGACCGGACCGGUCCUUUUAUCACUGCAGCGGCCGGGAGGAGGAUGACUUGUGUUUCCUGUCCUGCUAAAGGAACUGUUUCAACAUGUUUUGCUGUAAGACAACAAAAGAACCAUUAACUGAUUUUCUUAACUUCAUCCCUGGAUAGAAAUUCACACAAUGACCGACCUUCACGGAUGAGAAGUCAUGAUGGCUGGCCUCAGAACUGAAGUCUGGAUCCACAUUCCUGUCCAUUCAGCUUCUGACUUCUUCCAGAAGUUCACACACAGUUAGCUGGAAACAAGUUCUCAUCUGUUAUGUUACAUGUCUGACCCACUUUUAUUACAGAACCUACAGACGCAUAGGUAUACUAUAAUAUGACCACAUGUCAUUUCCAUCAUAAUUUGAACUGAAGAGUUUUCAAAGUGUAUUAGCUUACAAUCAUAAAUCUAUAAAUAGAUUCUAAAGUGGCUGGGUUUUUUUUAAUCUUCAUUUUUCACUGCUCCUGCUGGUAAGAAAUCAAUUUGCAUUUUGCAUUGUGGAUUAUUCUAGAUUGAUUUUGUGAUGAUUUGUGAAGAAUUCUCGUGUUAUUUUCUUCAGCUAGUUCAGUCAGGACCAUUGCUAAUUUUCCUAACAGCUAAGGCAGCUAGCUACUAAUUAGCAGUUAAUAAAGGUAUGUAGGCUAAUUGUUAGCUACUACAGGGUCUGUGAUGAUAAAACAUUACGUUACUAAUGUUUGCAUUUAGUUCAAAAUAUAUAAUUCAUAGUUUAAAAUGUAUAGUUUCCAACAAAUAUUGGACUCUUAAUAUGGACCCUCAACAUCAGAAACGUAGGGGUCAGCUCUAUGAUACAUUUUAUGAACUUGUAGUUAUUAUUUGAAAUUAGAUGUAAAUUUUAGCAAACUAAUUAAUUAAAGUAGACAGUUUACAGUGUAGCUUCUAGUCAGUGUGAGCCAGCUACAUUAACUGCUUCAUAAAAUUAGACAAGAAAACGCAAAAUGUCAUUUAGAAACCCUUUUAUUGUUUGAGCUAAUAUCUAAUAGCUUUAGCUGCAUAAAAUAUUGUUUUAGUCCUAGAGUUCUCUUGGUUGUAAAAGAUGUAAAAACCCUAAACUAGUCCGAAAACAUAGCCUCUCUUGUUUAUGUUGAUCUACAUGCGAAGUGUUUACACUAGUGGAGCUCAUUAUGUGCUAGGAAUGUUCUUUACUUUGUGUGACUAUGCUAGUGUUUUAGGGUGAUCCUGAAUUGUCUUUGUUUUAGAAAUUGAGCUUUUUGGGGUGUUGAAGCCUUCAUCUGUGUGUUCAUAUUCUGUUCUUUAAUGAGAUGGAACACUUUUAUAGGAACAAGAUCGUCUAUCUCCUGGAUGUCUGACAGCCCAGUAGCUAUCUACUCUGACAUUUUACAAAGUUAGUUGUAUUAUGAGUAUGGGGGAAAAACUCAGUAAGACUCUAGAUAAGGCUGGCCACACUUACAGAUGUUCCACCCACACUGUUACCUAGGUUCUUAUUCAAAGCUGUUUGUUGGAAGAUGUUUACCUGGGCCGCGUUACUCCAUAUGAAAGUUUUAGUUUAGCACAAAAAACAGCAAGCAUUUCUGAAUGGGUGAACUGUGCAGCCUGGUUUAAACCUUCCCUGGGUAAAACAUCCAGGGACAUGGGAUAUGUGCAAUAUGCGUGCCCUAUUCCUUUUCUCUUUACUUUGUCUUGUUUUUUUUUAGCUUAACGUGUAUAUUGUUCGUUUGACUAACGAGUGACGAGUUGUUCGUGAAAAAAAACAACAAAAUCACCAAUGUCUUCCAUUAAAUGAUGUAUAGAUUCAUCCGCUUACUUUGUCGUAGCGGGAUUUGUCGUGCCAACAUUAUAUGUGGCCAUGCAUGACUGGACAUGAUGCUUGCAGAAAAAAAGUUGUAGUUGUAGUAAAAAAUAGAAACAAAAAGCAUAUAUAAUACAAUGAGUUUUCAAAAUAGUUAUCAAAAUAGUAGGGUUGGUUAGUACUUAUGGAUAGAGGGUCCUUUCCUUGAGUAGCCUUGAGUCCAAGGAGCUUUGGAUUGCCUUGUGAAUCAAGACAAACCCAAAAAGACCUAGAUUUGUUUGUAGGAAUCCAUUGUUUCCCACUUGUUUCUUUUAGUUAGCUUCCCCUGUUAUUAUUUUCAUGGUCUGGCUCAAGAACCUUGGGUUUUACUAGCGUGAAAAUAGCGAUGCCAAAUUGCAUGCUUUUGUAAAUGUUUGUAGUUCUGCUAGUUUUGUUAACAUAAGAGGUAUUUGUGUCAAAAUGCUGUUCAGCAACUCUCACCCUAUCUGUACCCUCAACCUACAUCAGAAGGUCAAGUUUAAACUCAAUGUUUUGUAAAAUAAGUAGGUGCUUCUUGGUUGUAUCAGCAACAUGCUGUGAGUGGGUUAGGAUGGCACUUAAGUAAUAAUACAAAAAAAUGUUUGGAAAAGAAACUCAAUAUAGAGUACUGUACAAAUUUACUUAUAGUUCAGGCAUAGUUUGAGAAGAUAGCCUCAAGUAGCACAGUAGCAUUGAGUACUAGCCUAGAUUAGCCUAGAGUUAACAUGUAGUAACAUGUUUAAAACAUAUUCCCUAACAAUCAAAAUAUUGUAAUGUAGAUAAAUACCUCAAUGACUGGAAUGCAAAAUAUAUUUUUUAGAAUACACUUACAUAUAUGCAAGCCAUAAUACAUCUGUACAUUAGUUACUUAGAAGCAAUAAUCUUAUUAUAUGCAUGAAUUAAUAUAGUGCCAGAAUGGUGUUUUUCGUGGAAUGGAAAACUGUAGCAUACUUGUAGCUGUGGUGAGUGUUGAGGCCUAUUAAUGAUUAAUGUGGCGCAUACAAACUAUUGAGGUCCAUUGGUAGAAUAUGUUCAGUUAUCUCAUUAGGCUGGUUGUUUACAGCUAACUCCUUUUAUCAGUCAUUAAAACCAAAAACAUUUGUGAAUGUAGUGCAACUGAAACUUGGCAUUUUUGGCUGUAGACCAGAAACCCUUUGGGUGAGAAGGACUUAUUGACAACGUUCAUAUAUAUAUAUAUAUAUAUAUAUAUAUAUAUAUAUAUAUAUAUAUAUAUAUAUAUAUAUAUAUAUAUGCACUGCAUGUUUUCAUGUUGUUACAGCAGCAGAAACCGUAACCACAAUGCACAGCAGUUGAAUACACAGUCGGCUGCGUCUGAAAGCAAUAGGAGCAACGUGUUUGCUAAACUCAAACUGUAUCUUCACAGAUGGAUCCAAGUUACAGGCAUUUAAUGGCUAUUUCAGUUACCACAACAAAUUAAAACCACUUAAGUGGGCAUCAUUGUGCAAUAGCUGACUGUAAACUUAGUAUUAAUUGGUGUUUUUAUAUUGGAAUGCAGGAGAAUAUAGUUACUGCAUGGUAGACUUGGGUAAGAAAUGUGUUGUGAUGCAUGCAAUAAAUAAACUUUGCUUGGGGCUAAAAACACAACAAAGAGACGUGAAGAAAUUUCAGCCAACAUUUUCUUUUCUUUUUUUUGUCCCAAAGGUUCGAUAAUUUAUCUAUUUUUUUCUUUAUUACUACCAUUCUCAAUUUGGUCUUUUUUUUUUUUGCAAAAUGGACAAAUUUGAGUUUGUUCUAAGAUGAAAUGCAGACAAAUUAUGCAUAUGUAUUAAAAAGUGUGUUAUAAUGUACAUUACAACAGGCAGAGUGGAUACAGACUGUAAUUGGAUGAUGUAAAUGUAACAGAUUUGGGAAAUCCCAGCAAACUCCUGCUGGUAUCAUAUAAGCUAGCUGUUUUGUUUUCGACUAGCCCAACGAAUUGUUAAGUAAUUCCUGUUGAAUUGUACGAUUCUCUGACCCUGCUGUAACCUGCAUUGUUUGCCAGUGGAUGGAAUAUACUGUAUGUUGGGUUAAAUCUAUGCACUACAGAUGCGCUGAGCAUGCUAAGAUAAACCUCUUCUUGAUUUUGUACAAUAAAAAAAAAAAAAAAUAGUCUGCAUCAGAAAUUUUAGCAAUAAAAACAGCAUGGUGCCAAUCCUA